rnacentral:lncRNA from 1 species
GGCGUCCGAGGGGGGGGGGCCCGGGGUCCGCUGAGCCUCUCGUCCGCUGCCUCCGCUGGGUGGGCAGCCGCCGCCGCCGUGCCGUCCCUUCUCGGCCGGCCCCGAGAAGCCCCCGGAGCAGGAGGAGGAGGAGGAGGACGCCCCGGAGGACCCCCCGGAGGAGGAGGCCCCGGCGGAGGAGGCCCCGGAGGAGCCGCGCGGCCCCGGGCACGUGGUCGCCCGGCUCCAGGCCCGGCGGCGACGGCGCUGGCGGUUCCUGGAAAUCAUUCAGGGGGAGAAAGAGAAGGAGGAAAAAGAGGAGGAGAAGGAGGAAGAGGAUGAAGAAAGCAAGGCCAGUCCCCUGGACAGGAGCGAGGAGAAGCCCCCCGUGACCCCCCGCACCGGCCCGUCUCUCCGCGGCUCUCCGGCCUUCCGGUCCUUGUCACCCCUCUGGCGGCCCUCCCCAGGUACCCCCGCCCCCCAAAACGCACCCCCCCCCCCACCCCGGACCGCCCGGGACCCGGACCCCCGUCUCCCCACCGCCCCGGCCCGGCUGGGAGCCCCGGGCCGCCCUCGCCCCCUGACCCGGCACUGGUUUCUUCUUGCCUUCCAGAUGCCCGCUCGGCCCCCGGCCCGCCCGGGGGCCUCCCCUUCAGCCCCUCCCCGCCCGGGCUCCCCUCGCCCCCCGCCCCGCGGGGUCCCGGCCCCCGGCCCCGGAGGAGACAGCUGAGGCCGGCCACCCCGUGGGGGACGCCGGGGCGGAGCCCGGGCCUCGGCCCGGAGGAGGCGGCCCGGCCGGGGAAGGAGGGCAGCCGGGCCGGGACCGGACCCCCGGGGGGCCCCGACGCCUUCGGCUCCGACGGCCCCCGGUACGUCCCCCUCCGGGUCCCCGC